ACUUUUAACAUGCUCUUUACAUUAACCAAUCAUUGCAGGACAUUAUAGAAUAGACUAAAGGAAUAGAAUAGAAUAAAGGAAACAGGAAGUAGAGAAGCAAUGUACCUGGAGCUUGAUAUCAAAAGGCAAAUGGUUGUCCAGAGAAUCAUAGGAGGACAUAAGGGCACAAAAGCAAUGUAGACUACCAGGACCUUACCCAGUAUCCUGGCAGGCCAGUCUGAUGAUGCAGACAGGUUAGUUCAGCUCCAGAGGAGAUGUCAUUAAGGGGUACAUCCAUAGUCACCGUAUCCUGUUCUGUGUAUCUGGUAUUCUGAAAUAUCAUGGUAACAUUUGCAGCAGGGUUGCCUCCAGGCCAAGAACAGCUCAGUGUCACCAUCUGACCCAAUCUGACUGCAUUACACUGGACAUUUCCAUCAGGAGUACCUAUAAGAAAGGGCUAUGAGGUAAAGAUUUUGAGCUGAAAUACAGCAGGGCACAUUUAUGAAUGGAGUUCAGAAUUCAUGCCUCACACAAGGCCUCACAUAAUUGCAUGUUCCUUGGCCAUUGACCACACACACAUGCAAAAUGCUAAAGUGCUCAGGCUGGCGGUGUCCCCUACAUACUCUGCUGUAACCAACCAGAAGCCUAGAACCAAGAAAAUAGCUGACUGGUACAUUAAUGGUCUUUCUGGUGUGAUGGUGCUGAUGUGAGACCCUUUAUCAGGAGGAGACAAAGUGAUGUGCACAGGAUGGAAUGUUUCCUGAUAAAGAAUUAACUGCAUAUUUUAACCAGUACACUUUUAAUGAAUGUUUAUUUUAUUAAUGAUCCUGUAAGAUAUGGCUGGCUUAUAAACAAAGGGCUACAUUACCUACAACAUGUUGUUACCUCCCUUAUCAUGUUACAUAUAUUUAGUUUACAACUAACAGAAAAGUACAAGGUACACUGUUAUCUUUGUGACAACACAGCAUUUAUUAUUAAGAGUAAUUUUUAUAAUCAUAAUUAAUCAUAAUUAAGUAUGAGCAAACAUUACACAAGAAAGACAAAAACAUACUGGUAUAAACUAUUGGGCACAGUUAAAGACUGACCAUUCCAGCAGAAAAAGCUGUCCAAUUUUACAAUGGGGUUUAUCUUGAUGUGGUAUGGUGGCUUACUCAUAUGAUCACAACUUUGUAACUAAAAUCCCUUGUUUUUGAAAAUACAUUUACUUACAUUGAUACUAAAUUACUUACGAAACAGGGAGCAGGGAAUGUGCGUUGAUCAAUCCCCUCUCAUUUGUUUGUUUUAGCUAAUUUGGCCAGAUCAGUUGAACUUUCAUUUGUUUCAUUUUGUUUAUUUUACGUAGUCUUGGAGUGCUCCCACAACCUCCCUUUUAUGUACAAUUGUAUAAUAUCCCUGACUAAAUUCGAAAACUAUAGAACCCAUAUGCUGAAUCGAUGAUUGUAAAUCAACUUUCCAUGAAACACACAAUAUCCAUCUGAACUGAAUUUAAAGGUGUAUCUCCCGGUGUCACUCAUCGUGAUUGGCUGGAAGUACAGGAAGUCUUUGUUGCAGGUCACAUGGGGCUGGGAGCAGGCAGUUACUCCAUCUUUGUAAAAAGUGUAAUUAACCACAUUCUGGCC